UGGCUUCUUUAUUGACAUGCCAUUUGGCAAGA
rnacentral:piRNA from 1 species